rnacentral:rRNA from 1 species
GCAAGUCGAGCGAACAGAUAAGGAGCUUGCUCCUUUGACGUUAGCGGCGGACGGGUGAGUAACACGUGGGUAACCUACCUAUAAGACUGGAAUAACUCCGGGAAACCGGGGCUAAUGCCGGAUAACAUUUAGAACCGCAUGGUUCUAAAGUGAAAGAUGGUUUUGCUAUCACUUAUAGAUGGACCCGCGCCGUAUUAGCUAGUUGGUAAGGUAAUGGCUUACCAAGGCAACGAUACGUAGCCGACCUGAGAGGGUGAUCGGCCACACUGGAACUGAGACACGGUCCAGACUCCUACGGGAGGCAGCAGU